GUAACAUUACGAUACCUAGCUUCUGGCAUGGAUUUGGAGGAUUUGAAGUUUACCUGUGCUAUUGCUCCUCGAACUUUGGGGAUAAUUAUAAUGGAAACAUGAGAGGCUAUAAUCAAGAAAUUAAGAGAUUAUAUACAGAUCCCAAAAAAUGCAAAAGAAUGGGAAGAGGUGGCGCAAGAGUUUGAAGAAAGGUGGAAUUUCCAUAACUGUAUCGGAAGCGCCGAUGGCAAACAUGUAACCAUACAAAAGCCCUCUAACUCAGGUUCUUACUUUUAUAACUAUAAAGGAACUUUUAGCAUUGUGCUUAUGGCUAUUGUGAAUGCAAAUUAUCAAUUCAUCAUGAUUGAUGUUGGCGCCAAUGGACGAGUAUCGGAUGGAGGCGUUCUGAAAAAUACAGAAUUUUGGAACAAAAUGUCUCAAAACCAACUAAAUAUUCCUGCUCCAUGCAAUUUACCAGGAACAGAUAAGAAGUAUCCUUAUGUGUUCAUUGGUGAUGAAGCUUUCCAGCUAAUGCCAAAUUUUAUGAAGCCCUACAAUAGAUCUUGCCUGACAAAAGAAAAACGCAUUUUUAACUAUCGAUUAUCCCGUGCGCGUAGAAUCGUUGAAAACAUAUUUGGUAUGUUAACAUCAAGGUUUAAGAUUUUUCAAAAAUGCAUCAAAUUUGCACCAGAUAAGGCUCGCAAAAUAGUAAUGGCUUGUUGUUACUUACACAACUACUUGUCAAGUGAAAAUAAUAAAAGUUACAUUCAGCACAGUGAUGUUGACUAUGAAAAUACAGCGUCUGGAACAAUUGAAGAAGGUUCAUGGAGACAUGGAGCACAACUGUUGACAGAUCUUUAAAGAAUGAGGGGUAAUUCAGCGGUCGAGGCAAAGAACGCAAGGGAUAGUUUUUGCGAUUAUUUCAAUACUUUCGGUUCAGUACCAUGGCAAGAAAAUUGCUUAAAAUUGUAAAUGAAACAUAAAAAUCAAAAAUAAGAUAACCUGACCUUCCUAAUAUAGUAAAAUAAAUACAUAAAUACAUAUUGUAAUUUAAUAGAA